rnacentral:rRNA from 1 species
UACGUAGGUGGCAAGCGUUGUCCGGAUUUACUGGGCGUAAAGAGCGCGCAGGCGGCUGGGCAAGUCCGAUGUGAAAGCUUCCGGCUUAACUGGAAAAUUGCAUCGGAAACUGCUCGGCUUGAAGGUGGGAGAGGGUAGCGGAAUUCCCGGUGUAGCGGUGAAAUGCGUAGAGAUCAGGAAGAACACCGGUGGCGAAAGCGCUCUGCUGGACCUUAACUGACACUGAGGGACGAAAGCUAGGGGAGCGAAUGGG